rnacentral:rRNA from 1 species
AGAAUCAACGCUGGCGGCGUGCCUAACACAUGCAAGUCGCACGAGAAAGUGGAGCAAUCCAUGAGUAAAGUGGCGCACGGGUGAGUAACACGUGAAUCAUCUACCUCCGAGUGGGGAAUAACCUAGAGAAAUCUGGGCUAAUACCGCAUAACACUUACGAGUCAAAGCAGCAAUGCGCUUGGAGAGGAGUUCGCGGCCGAUUAGUUAGUUGGCGGGGUAAUGGCCCACCAAGACGAUGAUCGGUA